rnacentral:rRNA from 1 species
UACGGAGGAUGCAAGCGUUAUCCGGAAUGAUUGGGCGUAAAGCGUCCGCAGGUGGCAAUGUAAGUCUGCUGUUAAAGAGUCUAGCUCAACUAGAUAAAAGCAGUGGAAACUACAUAGCUAGAGUACGUUCGGGGCAGAGGGAAUUCCUGGUGUAGGCGGUGAAAAUGCGUAGAGAUCAGGAAGAACACCAGUGGCGAAGGCGCUCUGCUAGGCCGUAACUGACACUGAGGGACGAAAGCUAGGGGAGCGAACGGG